UAGGAAUCCGAUGCCAUCCUCUCUCACUAAAGACACUGAUGACAGAGUGCAGAAGCCGUGUUCAGUGUGGGUGUGGCCUGGGUUCCCUCCCUCCUGGCUGUGUUUGAGGGAGACAUAAUUUGGUCACCCUUGGGCAUCUUACACUUAGGUGGAAGCAGGUGUACCUUGUGCUGAACAGAGAGAUGUUGUGUCAACAGCCAGGGCUAAAUCCUGGGACCUGUGCAUUCCCUCAUAAGAUGUGCACACCUGAGCCCCAACUCCUCAUGCACCAACAAUACCACAGCAGGAAGAACAAGCAUGACCCUUGCCCCUGCAGCAGGAGCUAGUUUUAUGGUCACUUAACACUUGCAUUGACAGGUGGGAUGGAUCACUCUGAAGAAAUCAUUGGAUGAUGCUCUCAGUAGAAGACGUGGACUUAUGCCAGGGAAAAGCAUCAGAGUUUGAGGGUCAUGCAAGUCCAAUUCCAUUUCUACAUAACAAAAUGUUUUUUCUAUUGUGUUUCUUUGAAGUAGAAGUUUUCUAUUUAUUUUUAUUUCUUUUUAUUCACCAUUUUCUACAUCUUGAAAAUUGAUUGAUUCUUCAUUGUUCUAUGUGUUUUUUGAAUUCCUCAUUUUGUUCCUAUGUUAUUAUUGAUAUUGUUGAGUGUUCCUCUGUGUACUUUUCUAGGUUGAACAACAUGCAUACCCAACCUCAGGACACCAGAAUAUAUAAGCAAAUGUUGACAGCUCUGAAGGGAUAAAGAGCAAUGGAACAAACAGAAUGUAUUACUACUCCACUUUCAAGAGUGGUAGAUUUGAACAAUAUUAUAAAUCAACUUUUCCUAACAGUUAGACAGAGAGCAUUCUACCUGACAGCAGAACAUGUGUUCUUCUCAACAGCUGUCAACAAUUCUCCAGAAUUUUAGGAGUCCACUGAAAGGGGAUGAUUUGGAAUGGCAGACUUUUGACCCAGCUAAAGAAAGUCUCCUCCCAACUGAUGUUGAGCUCUCCCAACUGAUGUUGAGCUCCGUAUCAAGAACUGCCAGCUGAGGGAUCCAUGCUACACUCCUCUGCCAAGGCAGAGUGGACAGAGAGAAAGGUCUUCCUUCUAUUGGUUCACACUCGAAUGGCCGCUGCGGCCAGCGCACCGCGUUGAUCUGAAGCCAGGUGCUUCUCCUGGUCUCCCAUGUGGAUGCAGGGCCCAAGCACUUGGGCCAUCCUCCACUGCCUUCCCGGGACACAGCAGAGAGCUGGACUGGAAGAGGAGCAACUGGGACAGAAUCCAGCACCCCGAUUGGGACUAGAACCCAGUGUGCUGUUGCCACAGGCAGAGCAUUAGUCUAUUGAGCUGCGGAGCUGGCCAGUUAAUUGACUUUUACGGUGUCUAGAACAGAUGAAGAAAAAUAAGUAGUCUCUUCAAUACAAAGUGUUUGGAAAAGUCAACCAAUUCUUUUUGCAUUUGAAGAGAAAUUAUCCAGAUAACAUUGAGAGCCUGGAGUGCUUCAUGAAAUUUAUGGGGUAAUGUGAGGGUAUUUUAAGGAUGAAAAGAGAGGAGGUUGUAGGCAUUUCUUUAAUUUCUUUAUUUGCUUACUUAUUAAUUAACAGGGAGAGAGAGAGGGAGAGAUCUUCCACCUGCUGUUUCACUUCCCCAGAUGGUGGCAUCAGCCAGGGCUUAAUCAUGCCAAAUCCAGGAGUCAGGAGCUUCUUCAUGGUCUCCUGCCUGGGCAGCCAGGGCACAAGUACUUGGGUCAUCUUCCACUGGUUUUGAAAGGCCAUUAGCAAAGUGUUGGAUUGGAAGUGCAGCAGCCAAGACUAAAAUCAGUACUCAUAUAGGAUGCUGGAGUCAUAGUUGGCAUUUUACGUGUUACACCACAACAGCAGCUGCUGUAGGUGUUUCUUUAAGAAAAAACUCCCAAGUUCUGGGUUUAGCUGUAGUGAUCUUCUGCAUAAAUAGAAGGUUUACACAGCCAGUUUCUGCAUAGCUUUAUCUUGCAGGUGCAUCACCAUUCUACAGCAGUAAUAAAAGCAACAUGCUAGUAUUUCUGUACCUCAAAUGAAACCAGAGAAAUUAGUGAUUUUUCUGCCAGAAAACUUUCAGUUUAAAGCCAGGAAGAGUCACUGAUUAAGACUUUGUGUGCAUGGGGCUUCCACUUUAGUGUAGAGGAUAAAGCCACCGCCUGCCUUGGCAGCAUCAUAUGGACAUGGGUUUGAGUCCCAGAUGCUCCACUUCUGAUCCAUCUUUGAUAAUGCACCUGGGAAAUGAGCAGAGGAUGGCCCAAGUCCUGGGCUCCUGCAACCACUUGGGAGACCUGGAAGAAGCUCUUGGCUCUUGACUUGGGUGGGCCCGUCUCUGGCUGUUGCAGCAAUUUGGGGAGUGAACCAGCAGAUGGAAGAUCUCUCUGUCUCUCCCUCUCUCUCUUUGUAAGGCUAUCUUUCAAAUAAAUAAAUAAAUAUUUAGCAAAAAUAAAAAAGACUUAGAAUGAGGCCAGACAUUGCAUUUUAAGACAUGUUGAGUUCGGAAGCAGUCCACACAGCAGACUCAUAGAAUGACAAUCAUUUUAAAUAGCAUAUAGAUGUAGCAUUAGGUGUGAGAAUAUUAAGUAUCAUAUCUAGUUGUCAUCUCUUUUUCAAAAUGGGAGGGCACUCUAGAGAUUGUAGUUCUAGCAGAGUCUUUUUGUGCCAGUUACUAUCCAUCAUUCAUUAAAAAUCUUUAUAACUUCUUUGCUUUAUCUGAUUUGCUUUAGAGUUCACACCAGUGACUCACUACAUCUUGACUUUUGUUUCUUCCUUAUGAUGAAGAUCUAGUUCUGAAAUCACAGCUGAUCAAUCAUGUUCCAUCUGUCUCUUGUUGCAAAGUUGUAUUUGACCUGGUUUUUCAUGCAGACCCAUGUCAAGAUAGAAACAUUUGAUGAGAAGAAGUCAGUGUAAAUAUGUUUUUAGUCACAUUUGAUUAACAAGGAAGAUUUAGGAGUGGUCAUCAGGCUAACUUUAUCUGUAGUCCAUUGCUAAACUUAAUCUAUCUGUUCUGUAUACAGAAGUCGUUGCCCUGAAGUACCUAGGCAGGAUUAUUUUGCUGGGAAUUGUACUUCUGUAGAAGUAUGCCAUUCAAUAGGCCCAAAGUUCAAAAUAAAAGUGUUUAACAAAACCAACAAGAUGAUAACAAAUUGAGUUACAUCUAUGCAUAUAAGCUAUACAGAAGUUAUAUGUGAAAACAAUGAACAAGGUUACAAGCGAAUAGCAGAAUACCAUAAUUAACAUCAUAUAAGUACACAGGAAAUGCUUAUUAACCUCAGUGAAAGUUUUCAGGCCCAUGAACAUGGGCUGGUAUUGUGGCCCAGUGGUUCAGCUGCCAUCUUUGAUGCCUACAUCCCAUAUGAGUGCCAAUUUGAGUCACUUCUGAUUUGGCUCCAUGCUAAUGGACCUGGGAAAGCAGUAGAAGAUGACAUAAGUGCUUGGA